ACUCAGGCACGAUCCCUGCCUGGCGGGCUGUCAUUGCAAUGGGCAAUGAUGAUGCCUUUGGUCAGUGAAGAUGUAGGGAACCGACCUGAAGUUUCAAUCCUGAGGGA
ncrna:Corynebacterium ulcerans L31-Corynebacteriaceae ribosomal protein leader